GAUGAACGCUGGCGGCGUGCCUAAUACAUGCAAGUCGAGCGAACAGACGGUGAGCUUGCGCCUCUGACGUUAGCGGCGGACGGGCGAGUAACACGUGGAUAACCUACCUAUUAGACUGGGAGAACUUCGUGAAACCAGAUCUAAUACUGGAUAAUAUAUUGUACCGCAUGGUUCAAUAGUUAAACACGCUUUUCGUGAUACUUUUAGCCGGUGUCGCAUUAGCUAGUUGGCUUGGUAAAGGCACACCAAGGCAACGAUGCGUAGCUGACCUGAGAGGAUGAUCAGCCACACUGGAACUGAGACACGGUCCAGACUCCUACGGGAGGCAGCAGUGGGGAAUAUUGGACAAUGGGCGAAAGCCUGAUGGAGCAACGCCGCGUGAGUGAUGAAGGUCUUCGGAUCGUAAAACUCUUUUAUUAGGGAAGAAAAACUGUGUAUGUAAAUACCGCUGUCUUGACGGUACCUAAACAGAAAGCCACGGCUAACUUCGUG
rnacentral:rRNA from 1 species